rnacentral:rRNA from 1 species
GACAGAGGUGCCAAGCGUUAGGCGGAAUCACUGGGCUUAAAGCGUGUGUAGGCGGGCGGGCAAGUACCUUGUGAAAUCCCACGGCUCAACCGUGGAACGGCUGGGUAUACUGCCUGUCUUGAGCCAGCUAGGGGCGACCGGAACAGACGGUGGAGCGGUGAAAUGCGUAGAUAUCAAGCAGAACACCUGCGGCGAAGGCGGCCUUCUGGACGAUGACUGACGCUGAGACGCGAAAGCGUGGGGAGCAAACAGG